GACGACCGGCGCACGGGUGCGCAACGCGUAUACAAUCUACCUUAUGCUGAGGGAUAGCCCAGAGAAAUUUGGAUUAAGACCUCAUGGUAUCGGGAAACGGCAUCGUUUUCUGAUUAAAGGUUACGGCAUAAGAUGAGUAUGCGUCCCAUUAGCUAGUUGGUGUGGUAACGGCACACCAAGGCUACGAUGGGUAGGGGUCCUGAGAGGGAGAUCCCCCACACUGGUACUGAGACACGGACCAGACUCCUACGGGAGGCAGCAGUGAGGAAUAUUGGACAAUGGACGGAAGUCUGAUCCAGCCAUGCCGCGUGCAGGAAGACGGUCCUAUGGAUUGUAAACUGCUUUUAUACGGGAAGAAUAAGGGCUACGUGUAGCCUGGUGACGGUACCGUAAGAAUAAGGAUCGGCUAACUCCGUGCCAGCAGCCGCGGUAAUACGGAGGAUCCAAGCGUUAUCCGGAAUCAUUGGGUUUAAAGGGUCCGUAGGCGGACUAUUAAGUCAGGGGUGAAAGUCUGCAGCUCAACUGUAGAAUUGCCUUUGAUACUGGUAGUCUUGAGUUAUGGUGAAGUGGCUAGAAUAUGUAGUGUAGCGGUGAAAUGCAUAGAUAUUACAUAGAAUACCGAUUGCGAAGGCAGGUCACUAACCAUAUACUGACGCUGAUGGACGAAAGCGUGGGGAGCGAACAGGAUUAGAUACCCUGGUAGUCCACGCCGUAAACGAUGGAUACUAGCUGUUCGGACUUCGGUCUGAGC
rnacentral:rRNA from 1 species